rnacentral:rRNA from 1 species
CACAAGCGGUGGAUGAUGUGGUUUAAUUCGAUGCAACGCGAAAACCUUACCCACCUUGACAUGGCAGGAAUCCCGAAGAGAUUGGGAGUGCUCGAAAGAGAACCUGCACACAGGUGCUGCAUGGCUGUCGUCAGCUCGUGUCGUGAGAUGUUGGGUUAAGUCCCGCAACGAGCGCAACCCUUGCCAUUAGUUGCUACGAAAGGGCACUCUAAUGGGACUGCCGGUGACAAACCGGAGGAAGGUGGGGAUGACGUCAAGUCCUCAUGGCCCUUAUAGGUGGGGCUACACACGUCAUACAAUGGCCGGUACAGAGGGUAGCCAACCCGCGAGGGGGAGCCAAUCCCACAAAGCCGGUCGUAGUCCGGAUCGCAGUCUGCAACUCGACUGCGUGAAGUCGGAAUCGCUAGUAAUCGCGGAUCAGCAUGUCGCGGUGAAUACGUUCCCGGGUCUU